rnacentral:rRNA from 1 species
UACUAGAGUAGCACUCGCAUAUCAAUAAGCGGAGGAAAAGAAACUAACAAGGAUUCCCCUAGUAACGGCGAGUGAAGCGGGAAGAGCUCAAAUUUGAAAUCUUAAAGGGUUUCCCUUUACGAAUUGUAGUUUAAAGAAGUGUUUUCUGUUGAGGUUUUGGUAAAAGUUCUUUGGAAUAGGACAUCAUAGAGGGUGAGAAUCCCGUAUUUGACCUUUACUUUCAACUUUGUGAUACACUUUCAAAGAGUCGGAUUGUUUGGGAAUGCAGUCCAAAAUGGGUGGUAAAUUUCAUCUAAAGCUAAAUAUUGGCGAGAGACCGAUAGCGAACAAGUACCGUGAGGGAAAGAUGAAAAGAACUUUGAAAAGAGAGUUAAACAGUACGUGAAAUUGUCAAAAGGGAAGCGUUUGACACCAGUGUUGUUUUUCUGAAAAUCAAUUAAAGAACUGUUUAUGCUAAGUUGUUUAGACUUUAUCAGCUAUACUGCUUAGUUUUGAGCUUUUCUUUAAUGCACUUUUCAGUUAACAAGUCAACAUCAAUUUCUUUUGCUGUAAAAAAGCUUGAGGAAGGUGGCUUGAGAUUCGUCUUAAGUGUUUAUAGCCUCUUGCCUAUGCAGUCGGAGAGAUUGAGGUCUGCAGCGUAGAUCCUUCGGGGCUAAAUGCAUUUGUGCUAAGUUAUAGCAUUUUAUAGACAACUUGUUGACUAUGAUUUGUCUUGUAGCUUACUCGCUUAUGUUAUUUUACCUACGCUUAGGAUGUUGAGUAGCGACAUACGCAC